rnacentral:tRNA from 1 species
GACCGUGUAGCUCAGCCGGUAGAGCAACUGACUUUUAAUCAGUAGGUCGCGGGUUCGAGCCCCGCCGCGGUCA